CUUACAACAACAACAGCCCCACGCUGCCGCUGCAACUCUUCAUGCUGACGAUGUUGACGAUCAGAUAAUGGGUCAAGCCGCAUUAGAAGUUGAAGCCAUGGAUAACACAUCCCAAGCUGAAGCCGUGGAUAACACAUCACAUCCCAGAAACGGAGCGGAUGUUGGUGGUGGUGAGGUGGGGGAUGUUCCAGAAACUCCCAAGUCUACCGGUGAACACAUCACGGGCGAGUCAUUGGGCAACAACAACCGCGGCGCGUUGGGAGGUGUUGGUAAAAUGGGGCGGCGCGUGCUGAGAGAGGGGCUUCUGCGACUUCUGAAGGAUGUGAUACCUCCAUUACCAGUGUCUCGUCUGAAGAACGACCCACCGGCCAGCGUAACGCAUAUCCACGGCAACAACAACAGACACGCUUCGGUGAUGGUGUGUCUUGACUCUCCGUCGGGCGCUGAAUCGCGAGAGCGGCGGCGAAGUCAUCUGCAGCAA